GCCUGGCGCGGUGGCGCAUGCCUGUAGUCCCAGGUACUCGGGAGGUUGAGGCUGGAGGAUCGCUUGAGCCCAGGAGUUCUGGGCUGUUGUGCGCUAUGCCGAUCGGGUGUCUGCACUAAGUUCAGCAUCAUUAUGGUGACCUUCUGGGAGCAGGUGAUCACCAGGUUGCCUAAGGAGGGGUGAACUGGCCCAAGUUGGAAACGGAGCAGGUCAAAACUCCCGUGAUGAUUAUAGUGGGAUUGCACUUGUGAAUAGCCAUUGCACUCCAGCAUGGGCAACAUAGUGAGACCCCGUCUCUA
ensembl:misc_RNA Metazoa_SRP Metazoan signal recognition particle RNA